GACAGAGGUGCCAAGCGUUAGGCGGAAUCACUGGGCUUAAAGCGUGUGUAGGCGGAUCGUUAAGUACCUUGUGAAAUCCCACGGCUCAACCGUGGAACUGCUGGGUAUACUGGCGAUCUUGAGCCACCUAGGGGCGAGCGGAACAAGCGAUGGAGCGGUGAAAUGCGUAGAUAUCCGGAGGAACACCGACGGCGUAGGCAGCGCCCUGGACGACACCUGACGCUGAGGCACGAAAGCUGGGGGAGCGAACAGG
rnacentral:rRNA from 1 species